GGGGAAUAUUGGACAAUGGGCGCAAGCCUGAUCCAGCCAUGCCGCGUGGGUGAAGAAGGCCUUCGGGUUGUAAAGCCCUUUUGUUGGGAAAGAAAAGCAGCCGGCCAAUACCCGGUUGUUCUGACGGUACCCAAAGAAUAAGCACCGGCUAACUUCGUGCCAGCAGCCGCGGUAAUACGAAGGGUGCAAGCGUUACUCGGAAUUACUGGGCGUAAAGCGUGCGUAGGUGGUGGUUUAAGUCCGUUGUGAAAGCCCUGGGCUCAACCUGGGGACUGCAGUGGAUUCUGGGAUCACUGAGUGUGGCAGAGGGUAGUGGAAUUCCUGGGGUAGCAAGGAAAUGCGGAGAGGUCGGGGGGAACAUCAGUGGCGAAGGCGACUGCCUGGGCCAACACUGACACUGAGGCACGAAAGCGUGGGGAGCAAACA
rnacentral:rRNA from 1 species